UAAAAUAAACUAAGACUUUUGG
rnacentral:miRNA from 1 species